rnacentral:misc_RNA from 1 species
UUUCCGUGGGUGAACCUGCGGAAGGAUCAUUAAAGAAUCGCCCCGUUUUUUAUAAAUGGGUUCUAUUCCCAAACCGUGUAUACAUACCUUUGUUGCUUUGGCAGGCCGCCUCCGGGCGUCGGCUCCGGCUGAUAGUGCCUGCCAGAGGACCCAAACUCUGUGUUUAGUGAUGUCUGAGUACUAUAUAAUAGUUAAAACUUUCAACAACGGAUCUCUUGGUUCU